CAACCGAGCCCAGUGCAGCACCCGUCGCCAUGGUGUGAAGAGGGGGGCCCGGGAGAUGACAACAACGAAGGAGCUUCGUUCGGCUUUGAAGUUGGGACUAUUCCUCUGACUACCAGAUACCCAAUGAGUUUCAUUAAAACAAGAUCUAGAAGGGGAAUCCUGGGAAAUAUUAUCAAUUCUUCAUGAAGAUCAAAGCACUGAACUUCUGCACAUAUCCUUUGAAUCCUAUUAAAUUGAAAUAUAGAAUAUUGUAGCUGACAGUAGAUGUUUCCUUAUUUUGAAGAACGAUUUGAACUUAAGUUCUGCUUUUUGAAGUUUUUAUGAAUUUAUAUUUUUCUCCCUAGUCCCCAAAAUUUAAUUAUUUGUUCCAAAUCAAAUAUUACUAAUAUUUCUUCUUUAUACACAAUGUACAUUUUUAUUCCAUUUAAUAUUCAUCAUUCACUGUUAGUAGUUAAAAUUUUGAAUUCUACCAUGUUAUAUUAUCGUAUCUUUUUAUACAUUGUACACUUAAGGUUUUAGUAAGAUGAUUUAUUUUUUAUGACAACUUUCUUCUAGUAAUUUAUAUCUUUUUUCUUCUCCCAUUUUAUAGAAAUAUAUAUAAAUUAGGUUAUACUGGGCUUUGAGCAUAAUGAAGAUUUGAUUUGAUUUAAUUUGAAAUUUGAUUAAGGUUCUUUUUAGACCUUUGUUAUUUUUGUUUUUGCUACCUAGCCUUACGUGAAUCUAAGGCAUUUGUUAAUUUAUGUUUCAGUCAAGUGUAAAUCAGAAAAUGAUAAUAACCAAGAUUAAAUAUGUUGUAUAAACAUAGUGAUCAAGUCAGGAAGAGAUAGCAACCUUUUAUUAGCAAGCUGAUGUUUUGGGGUUGAGCAUAAUUGAAGAGCCAACCAAGCAAUCCAUAUGUUGUCUCCACUCUUUCACCCUGUCCACCUGUAUUGAAAGGAUGGGUUUCUUUCCAUUCACUAGAAGAAUAAGGUUGGAGCCAGGUUGAAUUAUAAAGAUCAGUUGGUAUAGUUAUGGAUUGGGCAUCUAGGUUUUCUUUUCAGGGGUAAAGUGACGACAUGACCAUUUUUCACACUUAAGACCAUUGCAGCAUCACCAUGAACAAAUGAUCAAAAUUUACACACUUGGCAACUGACUUAUAUUUAUGAUGGUUGCUGAGUCAUGUGAUGACUUUUCAUACCCUCCUGACAAGCAAAGUCAGUGGGGAAGCCAGAUUCACUUAACUAACGUAAUAACCGCAGUGAUUCACUUAAUAAUUGUGGCAAGAAUGGGCAAAACUCAUUUAACAAAUGUCUUGCUUAUCAACAGAACUUUUGGACUCAAUUGUUGUAAGUUGAGGGCUACUUGUAUUGUUGUAGCCUCCCAGACUUUUAUGUCACAAGGUGGCAUCUGUAAAAAUCUUUUAAAUAAAAUAACAUUAUGAAGAGGAACUAUAACUAUACUGAUUGAAUAUAUUUACAGUUGCGUAUUCAAUCUACACAAUAAGAAACUAUAUAUUAUAAUCAGGUCCUUGGUUACACAAGUAUGUUCAACAGAAUAAAAUCCCAUUUUGUCUUUAGAAGAUACUUAUUAAUACGAGAAAGUCACAAACAGAAUAGACAACGUCUUUCUUUCAGAUUAUUAGGCCUUGAUCCCAUAAACUAUCAUAUACUGUGAAAACCUAUCCUUAUUUUAAUCAGUUCAGAAUCUUUUUUUUUUCAGUUCGAAAAGUAUAACAGGACUUCUUCCAACUCAAUAUACAGUAAAAAUAUUAUAUGAAUGGGAAUCCUGGACUGAGAUGAGACUAUAAAGAACAAGAUUGAAUAUUCUGAUCAACUGGAGAAAUUCUUUUGAAGAUGAGGAUCUGGAGGUUUGUCUAUCCAAUAUGUGGGAAAUGGCUCUUACUGAUGCCCUCCAUCAGUAGUAUACAUUCUCUAAGGAUUACGCUUGUCCCCACCACAAAGAGGACUCUCCAUGACUCUUCAGCCUGCCUGUUUUCAAAAGGAAUACGUUUUUUCGCUUCACUUGGAAUUUGAGGCUCCAUGAAAGAAAGGCUUCAGUCAGUUGAGGAGAAAAGUUAGGACACUCACAUAUAUUCUGCAGUGACUUCCUAAAGAAGUGGAUGAUUGAUCGUGCCCGCCAGCUGCCUAAUAUCAUAAUUAACAAAGUUGCUACCGUGUCUGAGAAGUUUAAUCGAAAAAAAUUGCCAACAGUGUGAUGCUGUUGUUACCCAUAAAGAUCAGAAGCAGGGCAAAGUCGACUUUUGGACUAAUGGAGCUGCAGAACUAUGUGGGCAGAAUAAGAAGUAGAGCACCUGAAUGGAUAAUGAAGAUAGUAUAAUACAAAGGACUAUGACGCAGUCCGAGCUGCGUUACCAAAAUUGCUUUCUAGAAUUCAGUGGGAAAAUAUACCUGCAAAGGAAUUUCAGAACUGUGGCUGAAAUGAUUAAAAAAUAGCCAAGGGAACCAGCAUUGUCUGAAAACACUUCUGUAGUCAUAUGGCCAGCUUGACUAUAUGCCGAUGCGAAUGGAAUCCUGUUUUCUUCCCACCAAAAUGGAGGCUAAUAAUGAAGGAGUCAGUAAAAGAGCCAGUGUGCCAUGAGAGUUAUCUCAUGGCCCCAGAUGCUGGAUAAGUUGAAGAAGGCAAAAAUCACUUCUGGAUGACAUUCAGGUCUGAAUGAUGAUUUGAAGAAGAAAAGACUAUUAUUUCCAAGCUUCAGCAAUAUAUUCCUGAAACAAAAGAUCCACUUCAGACUCUGCCACACCUAAAAGGAAGCUUUGAAGAAAUUGCCAGGCUCAAGUAUGAUGAGAGAAUUACCCACAAAGCAGAAAAUGAAAAAAAGGCACAUAAAUACUGUGGAUACUUCUGUAAAGUGCCAAAGAUCUGGUUCAAAAAUGGUCUCACAAGAUCCAUUGACUCUCAACAAAACCUGAGACGGAAUUGCUCCAGUUAAGUGAACUAGGUAUCAAAUUACAGAUGAACUAACUGUCUACUUUUGUCAAUAUUAAGAGUUAUGCUGCACAAUAUUCAAGGACACAUCUUUACUUCACCAUGUUGCCUUUCAUCUUUGAAGCUGUUUAAUUCAUCUGAAGAUAAAGAUACCAUGCAGCUUAUAUGCUAUGAAAGUUAUUUCUCGAAUGCGUAACAGAAAAUCACCACCACAAGACGUUUUGUGGCCAUCCGCUAAUUUAUUACUUUUUAUAGUUGCAUAGAAUGAUGGGAGGAACCAGGACGAGCCUUUCCAUUAGACUGAUUGAUCUGAUCAUUUCAGGUGAUGGUGAGGAAGGAUAAGGCAUUGCUCCAAAGCCAAACUCAUUUGUUUACCUGGUUUAUCUACCAGCCAGCAGCACACUGGCACUUCUCGCUAACAGGUUCCUCCCACACUCUCUGCUAAGGUCAGUGUCUUGUUCUAGAAUGACAAACUAGGCAGUGAUAUUCCUUUCAUCCUUUUCCAGGCUGAAAUUCCUUGUUCCGAAUACUUCUCAAUGAGGCAUUGAGAGCUAGGUAUAAAGCAGCACAGAUGACUAGUUUCCACUGUGCCUUGUUCUGAACACUUGGCAAAUGUUUGCUUGACCUUACCCUGCCACAGUUAAGAACUAUAGAUUAUUAUAUAUAUUAAUAUUAAUAAUAGUAUAUUACUAUUAUAUUUUAGUACGGACUCUACUGAAAUAAGAGCCAUUUUUCAUUUUCUUCUCUUUUCCUUAUAACAUCUGUGCAUAUAGUUAAAAUUUCUUCUGUGUGGUUUAGAACAGAAUUUGCAACUAUGAUAGUUUAUCAGGAGAUAUUCUUUGGAAGUGCUCUAAGGAUGUGCAUGCCUUCAAAAGGAAAUUAGUUGAAAAGGCUUAAAUUUCAACAUUGGAUCAUGAGUAUAACUUAUCCUGCAGAUUGUUUGUUUGAACUGCAUAAGUGUAAGCCAGGAACACCAGUAAGUGAAAUACAGCAGUACAUUUUGUUCUGUGAAUAGCAGGUAUAACAAGGAAUCGUGCUUUAUAGCACUCUUCACUUGUUAUUUAAUAUCCUAGUGAAUUACAAUAAUUUAUGACCAUGGAACUUAGCUGUGCAAUGACCUUGAAGGACUGAGAGAAUGCGAGGAAUGUUCUUUUUGAAGAAAUAAAUACAAAUGCAAAGCCUUCAACCCUUCCUAUAUUCAAGAAGUGCAAGGAUUUUUAAUUUGGCCAAGCUGUAUGAAAUAAUAUAUUUUGAAAAAAAUGUUUUAAAAUUAUAGGUAAAGGUAAAGGUUCCCCUUGCACAUAUGUGCUAGUCGUUCCCGACUCUAGGGGGCGGUGCUCAUCUCCAUUUCAAAGCUGAAGAGCCAGUGCUGUCCAAAGACAUCUCCAUGGUCAUGUGGCCGACAUGACUAAAUGCCAAAUGCGCAUGGAACGCAUUCUUUAUAAUUCUUAAAAUUAUAAAGAAUGCCCAAAUUACCACAAUUACUAUAAGCUGUUGUAAAUUGAUAUUAUAGGUAUUAUUCCAAUUAAGAAAACAUAUUUAAUAUGUACAACUUGUUAUUGAAAAAAAUGCAUAAUAUUCAAAGCCUAGAUCCCUCUCUCAUGAGCCAGGUUUUAAAGCUCAGAUUGUUUUUCAGUUUUCUAAAUUCUCUUCUCUAAAAUACUGUCUGUUCUCUUAUUUAUUUAAUAAAUACAACUAUUGUUGACUUUUGAAUUGUAAACUAUUUUCUCCCGUUAUCUUUAAUUAUGUAAUAAUUUAUAACUUUGAAAUAAAUGUAUUUUUAUGGAAUCC